GUAGGUCCACCGGUGACUACUAGCUGUGUUUUGAGUGAGUAUUGCAAACAUUUUUAAGCUCUCUAAUUGCUGUUUGCAUGUACAUAUGCAUUACGACACGAGCUACUUGAGUUUGUUUGUAGCUCGCUAGCUAUCGUAGAACAAUAUCAACAAAAAGUGAACACGCCCACAAGUGUCACUCGGCUGUCGAUCAAAUGUUAAUCAAGGAUAGAGGUUUGGAGCUUCAAAGCUGCACCUGCCAGCCAUGUGGGACAUGCAUAGUGGAAGGGACCUGCCAUUGGAACGUGAUAGUAAACAUUCAAUCACAAGAAUUUCAAGUUGGAUGGCAGUCUGCUCGUUGACAAGUGGUGAAGUGGUCGGCCAGUUGGACGAGUGGUGAAGUGGUCGGCCAGUUGGACGAGUGGUGAAGUGGUCGGCCAGUUGGACGAGUGGUGAAGUGGUCGGCCAUUUGGACGAGUGGUGAGUGCCUGAACACUAAGACAAAAAGAUUUGUCAGUCAAAAGUCAAGUCAACAUUUUGUGCAGAAAAAGCCAUGAACCUUACCAGUGCAAAAGAAGAGUUGUUCAUGGCACCAAGUGUUCUGAGCUGCAUGACCAGCUUACUGCCUGUCAGAAAAUAGAUUAUUGGAACAAAGUUCUCAUGAUGAUUGUGCAAUGAGGAGCAGCUAAAGAGCAUACCACAUAAGUGCUAAAUGUGCCUCACUUCUCAGGUUGCCUUGGAGAAACGGUUUGCUCUGGCUUCUGCUGUGAGCAGGUACUCUGUGGUGCACCACACUGGACACAAAAACAGUCAUUGAAAUUUUUAAACAUUCUGGUUGAAUUAAAUGUACUUUCUUCUCUUACCAGCAGAGGGCUCGUCUUCAGCCUGCCACAGUUUGGCUUGAGCUACAGGUACUUUGUCACCUCUGCCUGUAAAGAAGAAACAUUGACAACAAUUUAAGUUGACUGUUUUUAUUUGUAACUGUAGACUGGAACUUUCCUCGUUUGUGCACUUGAAUCCCAGACGAGUAACAGCAGACUGAGUGCCUGAAACGUUGCAAAGACUCUCCUGGACUGCCACGCCUGCACACAAAUGAGUCAACAGUCAAGUUGGUGUCAAACAAGUUUUUUUGUGAAAAUUAAGGCAGCCUUGAGGACCUUCAGCAUGGUUUUGGAGAAUUUCUUCGCCCAGCAGGUGCUGCGUCCGACGGAACUCUUACUGGAAACUGGACUACACUAAGAAAGAAAAAAGCAGGUUGGUGUUUUUAAUGCAAAGUUUGGUGAGUUUGGUCACCUGUCAAAAUGUUGGACAGGAAGUUGAUCAUGACUCCUCGUUUCCUGAUCACCUGCACCACCUGAAACAACGGGUCAAGGACUUUGAUUAGUAGAGUUUGUCAUUGCAACAGGUUCAAAUGUGGAGCUUUUACUUCACCAGUCGCUCCAUGCUGCAGGGAGCUUGUCCUUCGGCACCACCUGGUGGACAAAACAGGAAGAAAAUGCACAUGCUGAAAUAAUUUUUUUCAAACAUUUGUACAUGUAGGUGUGCAUGUGUUUCACCAGUGAAGAGCGCAGGGCACCAUUGGACUUCUCUCCAACCGCAGCUUGCUAGCCUGAAAGACACGCUGCACACCUGUGGACAGAAAUGAGACCAUUAGAUGCAGUCCAUUGAAAGAGUUGUGAAUCCAGUUUGAUCGCACAGAAAGUCGGUCAUGCGAGGCUCAUUUGGAAGAUUUCGCACCUGUAGAAAGAAAUGAAAUUAACGCGCAUGCAUCAAAAUAUUCAAUUUAUUCUUUGUGCAAACGUUUUGUCUUACCUGCGGCAGAAUGGUGUUUGAUGCAAUUGGUGAUAGAAGACGUUAACUGGCGACGCUCGUGCAAACAUUUUAGCUUGCAUGUCCAAAGUGCAAGUUGACGCUGAAAGAGAGCAAAAGCAGUUAGUUGAAAUUGCGACUAAAAUAGUGAAGACUCACCUUGUGAAAGUUUUGGACGCUGCAUGCAGCACGUGUAGCAGCACGACGUGAUGGUGUCAGAAAUGAGCAAGAGAAUGAUUGUCGCGUUUGUGACGUCUUUUAUAGUAUUUUUGUGAUGACGUCACUAGAGGGCGGGG